ensembl:snRNA U6 U6 spliceosomal RNA
AUGCUCCCUUAGAAGCAUAUAUAUUAAAACCAGAACAGUACAGAGAUUAGCAUGUUUCCUGCAUAAGGAUAUUAGGCAAACUCAUUAGGCAUUCCAUAUUUUU